rnacentral:rRNA from 1 species
UAUUGCGCAAUGGGCGAAAGCCUGACGCAGCGACGCCGCGUGGGGGAUGAAGGUCUUCGGAUUGUAAACCCCUCCCCGCGAGGGAAGAUGGAAUGGGGUAACCCAUUCGGACGGUACCUCCAGAAGCAGCCACGGCUAACUUCGUGCCAGCAGCCGCGGUAAUACGAAGGUGGCAAGCGUUAUUCGGAUUUACUGGGCGUACAGGGAGCGUAGGCGGUUUGGUAAGCCCUCUGUGAAAUCUCCAGGCUUAACCUGGAAAAGUCGGAGGGGACUGCUGGGCUAGAGGACGGGAGAGGAGCGCGGAAUUCCCGGUGUAGCGGUGAAAUGCGUAGAGAUCGGGAGGAAGGCCGGGGCGAAGGCGGCGCUCGGAUUCGUUUCUGACGCUGAGGCCGA